rnacentral:rRNA from 1 species
AUGGGCACACCACUCUGAACGCGCCCGAUCUGGUCUGAUCUCGAAGCUAAGCAAGGUUGGGCCUGGUUAGUACUUAGAUGGGAGAAUGUGUGUGUGUGUCUUUU